UGAAGUGGGGGGACCGGGCGUGGGGGCCGCGGGAAGCUUUCGGGAAAUGUUUAUCCGGCAGUUGCAAGAAACUCUGCCCUCGGGACGAGGCGCCUUGCUUUUUGCCGGGGCCAGCGAAAGUGGCGGAUUUCACAGCAAAACUCGGGUGAAGCCAGGCUGGACCGGCCGGGAGUGAGAGAGGCCGGGAGCACCCGUCUGGAUGGGGACCAGAGAUGAACGAAUCCGCCUGUGUGUAGCACCAGGGCAUGAUGUGUGCACGUUGCUAUGCCAGUGUUUAAUGUUUGUUGCUUAUGGUUAUUUUAGGACUAAAUGAUAAAAAAGUUACUUGGGAGAGAGGGAACUGCUUGAUUUGACAUGAGUUCUUCACUUGUGCAUGCAGGAAAUACAUUAAUCCUGUACACACACAACUGAAUUUAUGUCCAGUGGACUUUACAAAUAAUAUACACAAAAUUCUAAAGCCCCGAAGCAAGGUGAUGUGUGUCUGAAGAGUUUCAGGUGUCAGGCUCCGUGUUCCGUGGGAACAAAAUAGGAGGACACCGAAGUACUUGAUAUGCCCAAGCAGUCAUCUUUUUGUAAUAAGCUUUGGAUACCAUCAAAGUGGAGUUUAGUUGUAACUGCCAGGGUUAAGUAAUCGCAUUGACCCGGUGCCACCCACCAGUUUGGAGCUUCUCUGAAAGUAAUUUACGAGACAGUCCUGUGCUGAUUGUGAAUAACCAGUGCUUUUGCUGAUUUUUUUCCUGUUUAAUUUUACACUGUCAUCAUGUAUGUGUAUGCUACCUGUUUACCAAACGUUAGAAUGAAUUAUCCAUAGUUAAACUCUCCACUAAAUCACUAAAUCAGGUACUAGCUGUGGCAUGUCUUUAAAAAUAUAUAUAUUUGAAUGUUACCUGGAAAUUACCGAUAUAAUGGUUUCAAGCUGAUAGGGAUUUUUUGAACUUAAGUCUAGCAUAAACAUUAUCCCAAGUGGAUGUGUUUUAAAAUUUAAAUCUCAUCUAAGAAAACUUCCUGGUUUGUGAAAGGUGCAGGAUUGUGAUGAUAGCUGAGGAAAUGCCAGAGAGAAUUUUUGGUAGAGAAUAAGAGAACAACCUGUGAAUUUGGUGUUAACCAGCAGUCUCGGCAUAUACUCACUUGCUCCUUACCUAAGCAUUUCUGAUAUGUGGGUGCUUUUUCUGUUGAUUAUGUAUCUUUGGUUAUUUGUCAUUUUCAAAAAGUUUCCUCAACAGAGGACCCUCACUUUGAAAUUGAGUCCUUGUGGCAUGUAGCCGGGAUACCAAAAGUUUUCAGUACCAGAUGCAGAGAGAGAUCAGUCCGUUUGGGAUCUUGUUAAUUCUUUCUGUGCAGCUACUUUUGUGCUGUGAGGUCUCUUUUACAUCUUGCUCCUAUUGGCCAUAGCUGACAUAUGUCUGUAUACAGUCCUGUAGUGGGGUACUUAAUUGUUACAACCUGAAAAGAUUAUUUCUUGUAAUAUAUAAAUAAAUUUUUAUGUUUUUCUCUCUUCUCUCUUUUUCAAGGGAACUGUAGAAUUGGACAAAUCAACACUUAGCAUGUCCCCCUCCUGUAGGUCUUGUUGACCUUGGUGGCAUCGUGGAGGUCAUAUGUUCAUGGAGAUAAACAGUUCUUGAACGGUUUACUCCAGGUGGUAAAAACACAUGGGAAAGUGAUUUGGGCUAUCAAGAAACUGAACUUUGCAAGUAUUUUCUGUGAAAGGGUGAAUAAGCUAUCCAAAGUGAGUGAUUUUAGCCUGUGUAGAAAACAUCUCCAGCUGUGUUAAAUAUAAAGCUGUCAGUUCUUUGAAUAUCUCCUUGCAAUAAUUAAUCAUCCUUCUCAGUUAACAGCACAGACAGUACAGCACAGGUGUCUUCAGAAUUCGGCAAAGUAGAUGGGACUGCAGACGUUACCAUUCCCUGUGACUCUUGCUACGAUCUUACAGACUUCAUUGUGCUGGGCUUAGAUGUCUUCAGAGUCACCAGCUUUGUUUUUCAGUUCCAUGAAAUCAGCCUGCCUUUUCUUUUUUUGGUGAUACAUCCACAUUCUGUAUAGGUGAAAAGCAAAACAAACAAGUAUAAAACGAAAAUUAUGUAAGAAGUACACACAUCCUAGCAGCUUGGCAAGUGUCUGUAUGCUCUUGCCUGUGCCUAAAUCCAGAAUUAGAAUUCAUGCUUGGUGCUCCUGUGGAAGAUGUCUAAAUGUUAUGAGAAAUACAUGAUUAAAUAAAAAUGUGAAAUGAAAGCAUGGAGACUUGUUGAAGGUGAGUGCUGUUUUUCUAAUUAUAUAUUUUAUUUGUUUAAUGAAUAAUUUGUUAAUUUUCUUUGUCAUUACGAGAGAGCUGUUUUAUUCUGUACUUAGGUGCAUAGCAUACUAUGUUUUAGUGAGCUCCACAUGUUAAUUUGAAACUUGCCAAAUUUUUACAUUAUUUUAUAAUUUAUAGUACUUUGAGAAACAUAUUGCAAUGCAUUACAAAGCAUAUAAUGUAAAGGUAGUUUUAUGAAGUGUUUUUCUCCCAAAUUAAGCAUAUUUGGGAAUUGCCCAUCAAUUUGUUUUUGAACCUCAGUGCAUAAAAUAUAGAAUUUUUCUUUCAUAUGCUAGAUGUGAAAAAUACUCAGCAUAUGCAUGUGGUUUAGGCUACAAAAUAGCCUGUAGGUUAAAUUCCUAAUUCUAGUGUUUAAUUCAUUGCCUUUUUUCUUCUUGUUUAAUGGCCAUAUGUUUAUAUCUUUAUAUUACAUACAUUCCUGAUUAUGUAAUAAGGUCUUUGAUCAUGUGGGCUAUCAGAUUUGCCUCACUUUGUCUCUUAGAAGAAGCUAUACAUGAAACUAUGUUGUACUUAAGUGAAAAUUUGAGUAUUUUUCUUGUUUGAAUUAAUGCAGUGAAACAUUCUACUUACAGUUAGCUGUCUCCCACCCUUACAGGAAGGUACAUGCCUUCAUUUUUUAAAACACUGUAUAUUUAUUAGAAUUGUUACAGAAUUUUAGUAAAUAUAUUCUAAUCACAUAUUUUCUGAUUAAUGUGUGCUUAUCAGUUUUAAAUGUUAUGAAAUCUGGAUAUAUGUUAAAAUGUCUCAGUUUUCCCCUCUUGUUUACCAUAUUGCCAUUUGGUAUUAAUAGAUAACAUAAUGUAAAAUUGGAUGUCUUUGAUAAUUUUGGGAUAUGUUCUGAAAUUAAACUUGAACUUUUUUCUGUGAAUUUUGAAGAUUUGGUAUCUUAUAAUUAUUUGGUGAGCAUUUGGCAUGAAUUAUUUAGCUUCUCCCCUGUUUAUGAUUUAUUUCUCUUGUCAUCGAUUUCCAAUAGGAAAAUGUUAUGGUUCUAAAUGUCUCCUGUAGACUUCAGUAAUUGAAAAAUGUCAGUCAAGAUGGGGGGAAUCUGUAAUAUAUAAUAGAGUUUAUCUUUUAGUUAUGUUCAUUUCCACUUUUUUUAAUGUGUUUUUUUUUUAGUAAAUGUCAAAAGUGUUACUCAGUGCAACAUAUUAUGCAAUAUUAUAAUCAACUAACCUCUUCAUUGAUAAUGACUUCAUAUUGAGAGGUUUUUUAAAUCUAGAAAUAUUCUUGUUUUAAAUUCCAGGUUAAAAUGUAAAGGUAUUUUUAUUUUUUUAAUUUUAAUUCUUCUCAAAGCUACUAGUACAUUAUAAAACAACAAUUUCACAUUUAGAAUUUUUAUAUGUAUAUAAAUUAGGAUUAUUUUUUAAUAUUAGCCUUAACUUUCUUUAACUUUUAUGAAAAACAACUAGUCCCAAGGGUAUUUUUACUAUUUAAUAUACAUUAUUCCUGUGAUUCAAAAUCUUAGCAGUAGAACCUGUUGAGCUACUUAACUUUCUGUCUUGGGACUAUCCAGGUGCAGUUAUAACUGGUUUCAAAGUUGUGACCUUUUCCUUGCUUGUUUCAAAAUCAUUCCUUAAAAAAUGUUCAGUAUUUUUCUUUUGUCAAAAAAUAAAAACAGGAUUUGUGGGUUGUUCUGUUUUUUAAAAUUAGUUUGAGAAACUUCCUUUGCCACUUGUUUUCUGUGCAAAUGUUGUAAGAGCUCAAAUUCCCUGGGGGUAGGGAGGACUUUUAUAAGGUUUUUUUGGUUGAAGGGUAUAAAAGGCACUUAAAAGGUAUACAGUUACUUUUAUUUCGAUAUCCCAGUCAUUUUGACAUUAUGAUAAGCUUUCCCCACUUUAUAGGUUAUCUGAAAAUUUGGUGGGGGGCGGGUAUUUUAUUUAUACUUAAUAUAACAAAAUUAUUUUCCUAUGUGUAGUCAAUAGCACAUACAAAAAAUUAUCUCCUGUUUGUAGUCAGUAGCACAGUCAGUAUUCACCAAAAUACUGAGUUAUUUUUCAAGUAAAGGUAUAAGUAUGAAUGAGAAACAGUUUGUGGGUUGGGUAUUGUCAGUCCUUCUUUUUCAGAUAACUUUCUAAAUGGUCAUUCAAUCUGUAAUCUUAAACUUUUUUAAUGUUAUAAAUUCUUCAAAUCAGUAUUUGUAUUAAAUGCAGUGACCAGACUAUGUCACUGAUACAAUGUCAUGAUUAGAUGUGCAGAAGACUAUGUUACAUGGAUGAUAAAUGAACUUUUAACAUAUAGAAAUUAAUAUCAGAUUAAACUAAAACAUUAAGCAAAGUUAAUACAUGCUUGCAUACAUAUAUAUAUUUAUUUAUUAAUGAUAUGUGGAGAAUCUUUGUGCUUCAUAGUCACUAGACCUAAAGUAGAAGCAGUUGUCAAGAAUGUCCAACUGCUAUUCAUCUUUGUGGCCAAAGUAAAUUUCAGAUUUUUUUUUUGUAAUGGUUUUCUUUAGUCUCUUUAUUAACCCAUCAUCAUGACAAGUCUGUCAAGUGACACAUGUGAAAAGCAGAUGUCCUUUCUUAUUCCUGGUGCUUCCUAAGGAGGCAGUGCAAUGCAGGAGAAGGAACAUUAUUAGAGAUAAAGGAAAAAACCAGAAGUGCUUUCUCCUCUCACAUUCCACUCAACACUUCUCUCACCAAAUGUGUGUGGGGAUUUCUCUCCACCAACAACCAGCAGUUCUUUACUGCAGAUUCUCCAGUGGAUACCAGCCAGGUGUCCUCUAAUUCAGUUCAAUUCUGACAUUAUCUACUGGGAGAUAGUGUCAGAUCCCGCAAGUGGAGGGCUCAGUCCUACAAGACUACCCCUUACUUCAGAUGUCAGUCACAAGCAGUUAGCGGUUUGUGAUUCUGACCAACUGGCUAGAGGUCCCCCUCCUCAAGUGUGAUUAAUUUGCUAGAGCAGCUCACAGAAUUCAGGGAAACACUUUAUUUACAUUUACCCAUUUAUUAUAAAGGAUAUUAUGAAGGAUACACAUGAACUGCCAGAAAGACAAGGAGCAUAGGCAAGAUACUGAGAAGGGUCACGGAGCUUCUGUGCCUUCUCCAGGUGCACCACCCUCUGGGAAUAGUCAGUUCAUGUGUUCAGCUGUCUCGAAGCUCAUUCGAACCCUGUCCUUCUGAGUUUCUGUGGAGGCUUCAUUACGUUAAGGUUCAGAAAUCAAUACCCCAAAAUAUGGGGCUUUGACAUGCUGAAUUAAAGAAGCAGCCUCAAGGCCUCUUGGCCUUCUCCAGCUCUCCUCACCCAAAUCCUGUCUCUCCCAAAGCACAAGAUGAGGCUGUUCACCAAAGUUCCCUUAUUUACCUAGAAACUGGACCUUAAAGAGGAACACAGUUGCCUGCGAUUCCAUCCCUGUAAUUUUAUUAACCAGAGAUUAAAACUUAUAUCACAGAGGAAGAGACUAAAAAUUAAACACCACACCUGGAGCCCAGAUGACCUGUCCCAAUCUAUUAUCUGUUCUCCAGUCCCAUUUAGUUCCCAAAGGGAAUCAUUUACAAACCAUUGUCUGAUCUUCCGGCCCAUUUAUUUACAGCUCCCCCUCUUUCCCCAAUGAAAAUGAUACUUAAGUGUCAGCCAUCUAUCGGCUCUUUGAGUUUUCACAUUUUGUAUGACUCCUGUGCACACACAUGCAUGUAAUAACUGUUAUACUUGUUAACUUUUUUUCAUUAUAGGGGUAUCCACCAUGAUUAUAUAUGAUGGGGAGGAAAGGGAUUACUCCAUUUCUGCCCCUGCAGUCUGUAGGCAUGAUUGAUUACAUCAUUGGUCGCCGGUGAUUAACUCAGUCUCCAAGCCCUGUCGUGUCCCUGGAGGUUGGAGGGUGGCACUGAAAGCUCCAACCAUCUCAUCAUGCUUUGAUCUUUCCGAUGACCAGACCCCACCCUGAAGCUAUCUACGGGUCCCCAGCAACAUUCAUUUCGUUAUCAUACAAAUGACAUUCUUACAAUUUCAGAGAUUCCAAGGGCUUUAGGAAAUGGAGAUGAAGAGCAAAUAUAUAUUUCACAAUAUCACAAACAUACCCUUGGGAAUUAGACCUCUGAUCUAAUCUAGGCUCCCUCACUUGCCAUUUUUGUGACCUUGAACAAGUUGUUCAUCUUUUCUGGAUAGUUCUCUGUUAAAAAAAUUAAAAUAAAAAAAUGGUGGCUAUCAGGUUGUUAGGAGGACUAGAUAAGAGAACUAUGUGAAGGACCCUGCACAGUGCUAGCAACAAAGUUGUUUAGUAAGUGCUAUUUCAAUUUAUUUUGCUUCCAAGCUCAUGUGAGCUCCCUCAGUGUGUACCACCAAAUCACAUGAUGUGUAUCCCAGUCAAAUCUUAAAGGUCAUCCACCUUGAAUCUUUAAGUUAAUUAACGUGUGUUUUUAAAACUGCAUUAUAAGAACGUUAGGGUUUUUGUUUUGAUCCUAUGGAAGUUAAAUUUUUUACACAAGCAUUCAACUGUUUAGCUUCAAACUGAACAGAUAAAUAGUCUGUAUUAUUUCAUUAUGUAUUAAAAAAUGAUUAAGCCUGCCUCAGGCAGUUCAGGCAAAGCAGGUAAAAGAUUAUCAAGGAGUAACAUUAGAAAACACUAAUCAGAGUGCCUAAAAAGCUUUAUGCGGUCCAGGUUGUACAGGGAUGUUGGAACAGUAAAACAAACAAAACAUUACAAGGUAUGAAGCGUUCGAGAUAGGUAGAAUAGAGCAGGUUAUAUUAGAGAAGUCUCUUCUAAAAUUGUGUUGGCUAGCCUGGGAUUUGAACUUAUACCGUGUAUGUAUGUCCAUGUGUAACAGGUUGAACAUGCAAGAAGCAGUGUUCAUAAAAGGUGGCAAACUUGUUUUACUUGUUUCUCAGUCUUUUCAGAUCAGUACUUAUAAAACACUGAUAUUUACAGUAAAUAUCUUAUAUUAAAUAUUAGCUAACCCUAUUAAAUUGUGUGUCCUUGUGCUGCAGUCAUUUAAUGACCUCAUUCUUUGGUAAGUUGGCAUGUGAUUUGAGAUAGCUCUAAGUGCUAAUGGAUUGUUUGAAGGAGUUAAAGGCAAAACCAGGAAGAGAAAACUAUUUUUAGGAAAAAGCGAUCAUACAACAGGCCUUAAAUAGAAGAAAUGAGAUAUCUCUAUCUUUACUAUGUAACCUUUAAUUCCUUACACAUUUUGACUUCAUAUUUUUUGUAUGUAAAUGAGAAUGUUAUAGUCUUGUAAAUUCCUUUUCCUCUGUGACUACAUUCAGUUAUUUAUUUUAUUGUGUGUUUGUGCAUGUCGGUAGAGCACAGUAUUUAGUAGAAUGAGUUAUUGGUUAAACCACCUGGAUUCAUUUGUAAAAUGGGGCCACCUGUCUCUUAAAUUGUAAUGAGGAUUUGAUUAGAUAAUCUAGAUAAAUCACUUAGCACAAGAGUCUCCAGCCCCCGGACUCUUGACUGGUACUGGUCUGUGGCCUGUUAGGCACUGGGCUGCACAGCAGGAGGUGAGCAGGGAGCAAGCUAGCACUAGGGCCCAAGCUCCGCCUCCUGUCGGAUCAGUGGCAGCAUUAGAUACUCAUAGGAGCACAGACCCUGUUGUGAACUGUGCGUGUGAGGGAUCUAGGUUUCGUGCUCCUUACAAGAAUCUAAUUAAUGCCCGAUGAGUUGAGGUGGAACAGUUUCUUCCCAAAACCGUCUCAGGAAACCUGUCCCUGGUGCCAAAAUUUGGGGGACCUCUGACGUAGCACACUAUCUGGCACAUACCAAGCACUCAGAAAAUAUCCCAUUUCUCAAAACUCAGUUCCAGUGUCAAGUCUUAAUAGUAUAUUGAUCUUGGAACUCCAAGGUAGUUGGUCCUCUCUUUGUGCCAUAAAUGUGCCUUGUACUCAGUAGUGCUAAAUUGCUAUCAACUAGUGCUAAAUGUACUACUAAUUCAUCUGUGUGUCCACUUCCCUUCUUAGAUUGUGAGCCCCUUGAGGACAGAGAUGGGUUUACUCAUAUUUAUAAAUUCAUUGGCAUGAUAAAUAUUUGCUGAAAGAAUAAAAUUGUAUUCUUAUGUUUUAAGCAGGGUCCCCUCCACCUCUGAGUGGAAGAUGGUCUGGGAGCAAAGGUGACAGGUCUUCUAAAAAAUCUGGCCACAUUCUCAACCCACCACACCCCCGCUUUUUUAAACAGCUAUUUAAUUGCCAUUGUAAUCCUAAGGAUUGGAUCAAUUUUUCACUUCCCUUUUUCACACUUUUUUCCUUUUACUAAGAAAAUAAAGUAAUAAAGUGACUGCCAAAUGGAGAAAACUGUCCACUAAAUAUGAAUUAAUAAGUGCUAUUAUCAGAAAUUGUGUAAAAGCAACAUAAUGGCACUAUAAAAAGGUAUUAUCUUAGAAUCAAAAACCUUGGGUUUAUAUUAUAGCCCUGCUACUUUCUAGUCAUAUGACAGUGAUCAAGCUAUAUUACCUCUUUGGCUUGACAAAAUAGGGGUCAUCUCUAUUUCUGGCUUGUUAUGAUUGAUGUGAAAUAUUCAUACAAACUACCACUGUGCCUGGUAAGUAGAAGACACUCAAAUAUGUCUUGGAGUUACAGUUAAUACUGUAUCGUUUAAAUUUGAGAAAAACCAACUUUAAAAAAUCACAUAGAUACAGUUGUUUACUGCUAGAAAUUUUAUUUAAAUUAGUUGAUACUCUUGGUUAGGUAAUGAAAAACAAUGGUUUUAUCUCCAUUAUGCUGUGAUAGGGAAGAGUAACACAGUUCAAAUGGCAAAGGCAUACCUGACAAUUAAAAUGCAUAGUUAAAGGCUAAUACUUCCUGAACACAAGAAGACAAGUCUCUACUUGAUACUACUCUCCACAGUUAAAUCAUUGAUACUUUGUGCCAUACAGUGAAAACAGAACCAUCUAGGUGUUCACGGAUUGUAUUUUUCCUUAUGAAAGGUAGAAGGUUAGAGAAAAUUAUUCCCAAUACAAUUAAUACAAAUAAAAUUGGUUAUUAGGUGCCUUUUAAUUAGGCAGUAAGGGCAUAUGAAGCUUCAUUACCUAUGAGAAUUUUGUCAAAAUUAUUUCCCAGUUACCAUGUUUUAAAACAGCCUCUCAGAAUUCCCCACUUCUAAUUUCUCCUUUCUAUUCUACCAAUUUUACUCCAUACCUUUUUGCUAAAUAAACAUUUUCUUCCAACUCUGA
rnacentral:lncRNA from 1 species